CACGUAGGGCGCAAGCGUUGUCCGGAAUUAUUGGGCGUAAAGAGCUCGUAGGCGGUCUGUUGCGUCCGCUGUGAAAACUCGGGGCUUAACCCCGAGCCUGCAGUGGAUACGGGCAGACUAGAGGUAGGUAGGGGAGAAUGGAAUUCCCGGUGUAGCGGUGAAAUGCGCAGAUAUCGGGAGGAACACCGGUGGCGAAGGCGGUUCACUGGGCCUUC
rnacentral:rRNA from 1 species